rnacentral:rRNA from 1 species
AACUACCCUACGAAGACCCAUAACCCUCGGGAAACUGAGGCUAAUAGGUCAUAGGUGAGUUACGCUGGAAUGCCAACUCUCCCAAACGCUCAGGCGUCGUAGGAUGUGGCUGCGGCCGAUUAGGUAGACGGUGGGGUAACGGCCCACCGUGCCGAUAAUCGGUACGGGUUGUGAGAGCAAGAGCCCGGAGACGGAAUCUGAGACAAGAUUCCGGGCCCUACGGGGCGCAGCAGGCGCGAAACCUUUACACUGCACGCAAGUGCGAUAAGGGGACCCCAAGUGCGAGGGCAUAUAGUCCUCGCUUUUUCCGACCGUAAGGUGGUCGGCGAAUAAGGGCUGGGCAAGACCGGUGCCAGCCGCCGCGGUAAUACCGGCAGCCCAAGUGAUGACCGAUAUUAUUGGGCCUAAAGCGUCCGUAGCCGGCCAUGAAGGUUCAUCGGGAAAUCCGCCAGCUCAACUGGCGGGCGUCCGGUGAAAACCACAUGGCUUGGGACCGGAAGGCUCGAGGGGUACGUCCGGGGUAGGAGUGAAAUCCCGUAAUCCUGGACGGACCACCGAUGGCGAAAGCACCUCGAGAAGACGGAUCCGACGGUGAGGGACGAAAGCUAGGGUCUCGAACCGGAUUAGAUACCCGGGUAGUCCUAGCUGUAAACGAUGCUCGCUAGGUGUGGCACAGGCUACGAGCCUGUGCUGUGCCGUAGGGAAGCCGAGAAGCGAGCCGCCUGGGAAGUACGUCCGCAAGGAUGAAACUUAAAG